rnacentral:rRNA from 1 species
UACGAAGGGGGCUAGCGUUGCUCGGAAUCACUGGGCGUAAAGCGCACGUAGGCGGACUCUUAAGUCGGGGGUGAAAUCCUGGAGCUCAACUCCAGAACUGCCUUCGAUACUGAGAGUCUUCGAGUUCGGGAGAGGUGAGUGGAACUGCGAGUGUAGAGGUGAAAUUCGUAGAUAUUCGCAAGAACACCAGUGGCGAAGGCGGCUCACUGGCCCGAUACUGACGCUGAGGCACGAAGGCCAGGGGAGCAAACGGG